rnacentral:rRNA from 1 species
CGCGUAGGCGGCUAUAUAAGUUGGAUGUGAAAGCCCCGGGCUUAACCUGGGAUGGUCAUUCAAAACUGUGUAGCUAGAAUGUGGUAGAGGGUAGUGGAAUUCCUAGUGUAGCGGUGAAAUGCGUAGAUAUUAGGAGGAACAUCAGUGGCGAAGGCGACUGCCUGGACUGACAUUGACGCUGAGGUGCGAAAGCGUGGGUAGCGAACA